CAAAUUUGAAAUUGCCCCUCGUAUAAUAGUAAGCACUUAACUAAUCAACACUUAGGCUUAGUUUGGUAUUGAGGUCUAUUUAACGUUAUUAGAUCAAAUGGAGUUGGGGAAAAAAGCAUAUAGGGAUAUGCUUCUGCUCCGGUGGGACCGCAGAAAAUAUAUCGUAACCUACUCAUUGCGAUAUGCGGAACGCAAUAUUACAUACGGAAACAAACAGAUUAUUUUUUCAACGUACUUUCUCAUCGCACGUAACGCAAUCUCCCUGCAAUCCCAAGCGAAGCCUUAUUAGAUCAUAGUGUUCUCAAAAAGUUCUUUACACUUGCAACUCUCU
rnacentral:lncRNA from 1 species